AGCGGAGGAACGAUGUGGUUUAAUUCGAUGAUACGCGAGGAACCUUACCCGGGCUUGAACUGCAGGAGAACGAUUCAGAGAUGAUGAGGUCCUUCGGGACUCCUGUGGAGGUGCUGCAUGGUUGUCGUCAGCUCGUGCCGUGAGGUGUCGGCUUAAGUGCCAUAACGAGCGCAACCCCUCUCCGUAGUUGCCAUCGGGUGAUGCCGGGCACUCUGCGGACACUGCCACCGUAAGGUGUGA
rnacentral:rRNA from 1 species